GCCUCGGAGCUGGGUGCUUCUUGGGUAGGGGUGAGCUGGAAUGCGUUUGGGCCCCGGCGGUGUGGAUGUUGCACAGCUGCAAGCUCUCAGACCUCUCCCAGGUCCAGCCGGGCUCACGAACCACUGAGAGGGAAACCUCCAGGUCCCCAGGGACGGGUUUCCAUGGAAGUCGACCUCUGUAGAGCAACAGCUGUCCUCAAUCGCUUGGUCACUUAGUCUAACCAGUUUUCCAGUGACUUCUCACUCCUGAGUAACAGACCUGAAAUUUCUUGAUCUCUGAAACGUAACUCAUGAUGGAGGUUUGUAGACAGAGUCAUCUGGGUGGAGAACACACUUCUGGGACCAGCAUUGAAGUGAUGCCAUAUCCCACCCCACACCAGUGCAACUGUAAAUACUGAGCAGUGAGAAGUUCAAGCAAAUGUGUACAAGAAGUGCUCUGGAAGGAGGCAAGAUCUCUACAUUCACCAGAGAAGUCAUUGAAUAUCCAGCUUAAGAGUGACCUUUGGGAUACAACCCCAGUAUAGGAAAGUGGCCAUGCCAUGCUGGUUAUCUCUUCUGGCCUGGUGGCUUCUGGUCAACUGCUAUUUUCCAGCCUCCUGGAUCAGUUUAAUUUAUUGUGGUUUUCCUGUUGCCCAAUGGUCAGUUUUCUUUGAUAUUUACUGCGCACCUGAAAAGGAUGUUUCUAUUUUUCAGAUGUAUCUCUCGUAUACAUAAUAGAGUUGAGUUUUGCUUUGUGGUCAAAUCUAAUUUGAUCCAGUGGGUGGUCAUGUGAGAACUGAUAACAUGUUGGAUAUGAAGCAGGAACUUUAUGAAGAAACAGAAUCAUGUAGGGAGGGGUCUGAUGGACAAAACAAAACUGUAUCAGUAUGCCAAAUACAGAGGAGACAGUGAACCUAAUGGGAGUUUGGAAAUGCAGGAUGGGGAUGCCACAGGUGAAAAAAUAUGUAAAUGUGAUGAAUGUGGGAAAACUUUGACUUGGAUAAGAUGACCUCGAAUACACAGGAGGACCACAGUGGGAAGAAACUGCAUCCUUGUAUAGAAUGUGGAAAGGCCUUCAUCAGACAUGCGGAACUUACCCAGCACCAGGUGCUGUGAGCCAUUCUGCUAUAGGGAAUGGCAUGGGAGCCUGAGUGAUGCCCCUUGUUCUGCAGGCUACAUGGGUGUCCCGUGUAUGUGGCAUGGCUCCGUGGAAUUUCUUAUUUGUUCACCUUUGGUUGCUUGACAAGGCUUUGCAGAAUUAAACAGCCUAACCUUUUGGCUUAGUAUGGCUUUGGGAAAUUCCCUGGAGUUUCUCAAAGGACAUGUUUAAUUACAUCAAAAUUAACUGGUUUGUUUAAAAGACAUUCUCAGUACUAAAGGUGUUUUUGAUGCAUGUUCCCAGUAUGGGUUGGCUCAAUUUAAUUUUGUUAUUAAUCUUCCUUGUUAGUGAUGGGUGCAUGGACCCAUUGUGGCUGUGGUCAUGCUCUUGUACGUGUGGAAUGAAGUUAUUAUGUUGGAUUUCUAUCCACAUCCCCCAGGGAGGUGGUGGGUCCGAGUGCAGUGGUGUUUACAAUUAUUUGAUCAUUAACCAGUUACAGAUUUCUUUGUUUUCCCCAUUCCCACAGUUUCAUUUGACUUACCAAGAACAUGUUGUUUCCCUAGUAAUAAUAAGAAUGAUAUAAUGUGUUUUUGUUAGUUUGAGUAGGAUCAUUUAACUUUUCACUUUGUCCACUGUGCUGUUCCCGGAGUCUAUUGGCAGGGAAAUAAAAGGUAUAAACAUUGUGAUUUUGAUUAUAAAUUAAAAUGAUCAAUAUAGAGUAUAAGCAAUAUUAAAUUGUUAACCAUAACUAAUCAAUGUUAUUAAAAUUAAGAGUAGUAAGUAUAAGUAAGAUUAAAAAGGGGUUAAAUUGUAAGCUAAGAAGGUUAAGGUUUAUGAUUCAGACCAAAAGUCUGAUGUUUUAAAGCCAAGCAUGUUGCUAUUGUAUAGUUUUCUGGCCACAAGCCACAGGCUUUGGAGUGAACUAUUGAUGCAUGAGUGGGUGUUUUUAUCAUAGCAUGAGGGCUUUGGAACCUUCUGAUUUUUCUUUUUCUAUAGAGAUGAAAUAAGAAAUGUUUUGAUUAAAAGAUAAAUCAUCAUGUAAAAGGUUAAGUAAAAAAAUAUAAAGCAAGAUUCUUGUGGUUGGUGUCUACACUUGAACUAGA